AGUGAACGCUGGCGGUAGGCCUAACACAUGCGAGUCGAACGGCAGCACAGUAAGAGCUUGCUCUUACGGGUGGCGAGUGGCGGACGGGUGAGGAAUACAUCGGAAUCUACUUUUUCGUGGGGGAUAACGUAGGGAAACUUACGCUAAUACCGCAUACGACCUACGGGUGAAAGCAGGGGAUCUUCGGACCUUGCGCGAUUGAAUGAGCCGAUGUCGGAUUAGCUAGUUGGCGGGGUAAAGGCCCACCAAGGCGACGAUCCGUAGCUGGUCUGAGAGGAUGAUCAGCCACACUGGAACUGAGACACGGCCCAGACUCCUACGGGAGGCAGCAGUGGGGAAUAUUGGACAAUGGGCGCAAGCCUGAUCCAGCCAUACCGCGUGGGUGAAGAAGGCCUUCGGGUUGUAAAGCCCUUUUGUUGGGAAAGAAAAGCAGCAGGUUAAUACCCCGCUGUUCUGACGGUACCCAAAGAAUAAGCACCGGCUAACUUCGUGC
rnacentral:rRNA from 1 species